CUUGUUGGGCAUGGAAGCAAAGGUAACUCUUGUUAUGGUUUAGCAAAGAGACUGGUGGCAUUUUGCCCCUUCCCUAGAGAUUUGUGGAACUUUGAACUUGGGAGAGAUGAUUUAGGAUGUCUGGUGGAAUAAAUUUCUAAGCAGCAAAGUAUU